rnacentral:misc_RNA from 1 species
GAAAUGCGAUAAGUAAUGUGAAUUGCAGAAUUCAGUGAAUCAUCGAAUCUUUGAACGCACAUUGCGCCCGUCAGCAUUCUGGCGGGCAUGCCUGUUCGAGCGUCAUUUCAACCCUCAGGACCCCCCUUUCGCGGGGAGGGACCUGGCGUUGGGGAUCGGCCCGCCCCCCGUGGCGGCGCCGUCCCCGAAAUCUAGUGGCGGUCUCGCUGCAGCCUCCCCUGCGUAGUAGUUACAACCUCGCAUUGGAGCGCGGCGCGGCCACGCCGUAAAACCCCCGACUUUCUGAACGUUGACCUCGGAUCAGGUAGGAAUACCCGCUGAACUUAAGC